CAGCAGCCGCGGGAAUACGAAGGGUGCAAGCGUUAAUCGGAAUUACUGGGCGUAAAGCGCGCGUAGGUGGUUUGGUAAGAUGGAUGUGAAAUCCCCGGGCUCAACCUGGGAACUGCAUCCAUAACUGCCUGACUAGAGUACGGUAGAGGGUGGUGGAAUUUCCUGUGUAGCGGUGAAAUGCGUAGAUAUAGGAAGGAACACCAGUGGCGAAGGCGACCACCUGGACUGAUACUGACACUGAGGUGCGAAAGCGUGGGGAGCAAACAGGAUUAGAUAUCCGAGUAGUCCCUGUCUCUUAUAC
rnacentral:rRNA from 1 species